UACGUAGGGUGCGAGCGUUGUCCGGAAUUACUGGGCGUAAAGAGCUCGUAGGUGGUUUGUCGCGUUGUUCGUGAAAACUCACGGCUUAACUGUGAGCGUGCGGGCGAUACGGGCAGACUGGAGUACUGCAGGGGGAGACUGGAAUUCCUGGUGUAGCGGUGGAAUGCGCAGAUAUCAGGAGGAACACCGGUGGCGAAGGCGGGUCUCUGGGCAGUAACUGACGCUGAGGAGCGAAAGCGUGGGGAGCGAACAGG
rnacentral:rRNA from 1 species